AGUGAACGCUGGCGGUAGGCCUAACACAUGCAAGUCGAACGGCAGCACAGUAAGAGCUUGCUCUUACGGGUGGCGAGUGGCGGACGGGUGAGGAAUACAUCGGAAUCUACUUUUUCGUGGGGGAUAACGUAGGGAAACUUACGCUAAUACCGCAUACGACCUACGGGUGAAAGCAGGGGAUCUUCGGACCUUGCGCGAUUGAAUGAGCCGAUGUCGGAUUAGCUAGUUGGCGGGGUAAAGGCCCACCAAGGCGACGAUCCGUAGCUGGUCUGAGAGGAUGGUCAGCGACACUGGAACGGAGACACGGUCAAGACUCCUACGGGAGGCAGCAGUGGGGAAUAGUGGACAAUGGGCGCAAGCCUGAUCCAGCCAUACCGCGUGGGUGAAGAAGGCCUUCGGGUUGUAAAGCCCUUUUGUUGGGAAAGAAAAGCAGCAGGUUAAUACCCCGCUGUUCUGACGGUACCCAAAGAAUAAGCACCGGCUAACUUCGUG
rnacentral:rRNA from 1 species